AGAGACUCGGUGAAAUCAUAGUACCGGUGAAGAUGCCGGUUACCCGCGACAGGACGGAAAGACCCCGUGGAGCUUUACUGUAGCCUGAUAUUGAAAUUCGGUACAGUUUGUACAGGAUAGGUAGGAGCCUUAGAAGCGUGAGCGCUAGCUUACGUGGAGGCAUUGGUGGGAUACUACCCUAAUUGUAUUGGAUUUCUAACCCGCAGCACUUAUCGUGCUGGGAGACAGUGUCAGGCGGGCAGUUUGACUGGGGCGGUCGCCUCCUAAAGAGUAACGGAGGCGCUCAAAGGUUCCCUCAGAAUGGUUGGAAAUCAUUCAUAGAGUGUAAAGGCAUAAGGGAGCUUGACUGCGAGACCUACAAGUCGAGCAGGGUCGAAAGACGGACUUAGUGAUCCGGUGGUUCCGCAUGGAAGGGCCAUCGCUCAACGGAUAAAAGCUACCCCGGGGAUAACAGGCUUAUCUCCCCCAAGAGUUCACAUCGACGGGGAGGUUUGGCACCUCGAUGUCGGCUCAUCGCAUCCUGGGGCUGUAGUCGGUCCCAAGGGUUGGGCUGUUCGCCCAUUAAAGCGGUACGCGAGCUGGGUUCAGAACGUCGUGAGACAGUUCGGUCCCUAUCCGUCGUGGGCGUAGGAAAUUUGAGAGGAGCUGUCCUUAGUACGAGAGGACCGGGAUGGACAUACCUCUGGUGUACCAGUUGUCGUGCCAACGGCAUAGCUGGGUAGCUAUGUAUGGACGGGAUAAGUGCUGAAAGCAUCUAAGCAUGAAGCCCCCCU
rnacentral:rRNA from 1 species